CAAUUUCUUGUUUUAUUGAAUUGAUUUUCAAUCGAUUUAUGUCGUACAGAUCUGCUGUUGUGAACUAUUUCUAUAUUCACAACUGAUGCAUUUCAUAAUUGAUUUUCAAUUGAAAUUAUCUGCUGUUGUGAAAUUUUUAGGGGUUUCUCUGUAAAUUUCGUAUAAUUUUUUUGCUCGUUGUUGUUGUGGAUUGAUUGAUGCAUAAAUCUGGUUUCUUUGGUUCGAUUCUUGUAGUAUUAUUUUUGUUUUGACUUUUUGGAUCAUGAACCCUUCAAAUGAUAUCAAAUUUGAUCUUAAAGGUGAGAAGAUGAGAAUCCAAUGUAUGAGAGCACAAGAGCUGAGCUUGGUCUGGUUGUUCUGUAUUUGAACAAAACGGAGGCGAGAGACAAAAUUUAUGGUGCUUGCAGUGGCAGUUUACAAUCACUACAAGAGGAUAUAUCACGAAUCAGCACAGAAACGGUUCGUUUAUGUCCCAAGAGAAGGCAAACAAUGCUCUUCUCAUUCACAUUAGGAGGACGAUCCCACUCACAAACAGAAGGGGAAAGCCUCAGUUCUGUCCAUUUCACCUUUCAAAUUCUGUUUUGCUUGUAAAACAAGUUCUGUUUUUUUUUAAAUGUAAUGCUAAGAAACUUGUUAAGAAACUUACCAUUGGAGAGAUAAAUUUUACAAA